GAUGAACGCUGGCGGCGGGCCUAAUACAUGCAAGUCGAGCGAACGGACGAGAAGCUUGCUUCUCUGAUGUUAGCGGCGGACGGGUGAGUAACACGUGGAUAACCUACCUAUAAGACUGGGAGAACUUCGGGAAACCGGAGCUAAUACCAGAUAAUAUUUUGAACCGCAUGGUUCAAAAGUGAAAGACGGUCUUGCUGUCUCUUAUAGAUGGAUCCGCGCUGCAUUAGCUAGUUGGUAAGGUAACGGCUUACCAAGGCAACGAUGCAUAGCCGACCUGAGAGGGUGAUCGGCCACACUGGAACUGAGACACGGUCCAGACUCCUACGGGAGGCAGCAGUAGGGAAUCUUCCGCAAUGGGCGAAAGCCUGACGGAGCAACGCCGCGUGAGUGAUGAAGGUCUUCGGAUCGUAAAACUCUGUUAUUAGGGAAGAACAUAUGUGUAAGUAACUGUGCACAUCUUGGCGGUACCUAAUCAGAAAGCCACGGCUAACUACGUG
rnacentral:rRNA from 1 species